GUUUCACGAAAGAAUAUCCAGAUGUACGAUGCUCUUCACGUGCGAAUACGGAGGGCAUUGUACAUCUGGAUAUUCGUUCGCGAAAC